rnacentral:rRNA from 1 species
UACGGAGGGUGCAAGCGUUAUCCGGAUUCACUGGGUUUAAAGGGUGCGUAGGUGGGCAGGAAAGUCAGUGGUGAAAUCUCCGGGCUUAACCCGGAAACUGCCGUUGAUACUAUUUGUCUUGAAUAUUGUGGAGGUAAGCGGAAUAUGUCAUGUAGCGGUGAAAUGCUUAGAUAUGACAUAGAACACCAAUUGCGAAGGCAGCUUACUACACAAUGAUUGACGCUGAGGCACGAAAGCGUGGGGAUCAAACAGG